AGCCGACAGAGAGAUGGAGAAAGCCAUGAUCCUCCCCGGGGGAACCUCGGAGCAGCGCUGCAUCUUCACCUGCGCCCUUUUUCAAAGCUUGCAGCUGUAUCCGCUGUCCCAGAGGAGGAAGGUUUCUCUUGGUGGAAGUCACAAAGGAAGCCUUCUAUUCUUUCCUGGCACCUAAAUGAUUCUGAAAAGAAACCAGUUACUAUAUUUAGGCGUAACAAUCCGGCACGACUCAACAUGCCAACUAUGCAUGACCUGUUACUGACAUCAAAGAUAUUCAUAAUGUUUACCUGCUUUUAUUUUCCUAUUCCCCAUAUGUAAUAAAAGGCACUCAGUUUGCUCAGGAGCAA